UACAGAGGUCUCAAGCGUUGUUCGGAUUUAUUGGGCGUAAAGGGCGCGUAGGCGGCGGGGUAAGUCGGGUGUGAAAUCUCAGGGCUCAACCCUGAAACUGCACUUGAUACUGCUCUGCUUGAGGACUGGAGAGGAGACUGGAAUUCACGGUGUAGCAGUGAAAUGCGUAGAUAUCGUGAGGAAGACCAGUGGCGAAGGCGGGUCUCUGGACAGUUCCUGACGC
rnacentral:rRNA from 1 species